CGCAUUAAGAAUAUUUACAUCUCUUUGACGAUGUUUUGGAAUACUGCUCACACUUUUUGGAUCUACAUCAGAAACUUUUACAUUGAAAUGAAUUCGAUUUUUUCUAAAGACAAAUACGUGAGCAAUUUGGAACGCGAUUUCUAACUUUAAAAAGUUAGCAUUUUGCGCAUGCGCGGCGCGAAUUCGAAGUAGUGCGAUGCCAUAUUGGUAAUGGACACCAAAGUGACAAGAAAUUCCUAUCGUCUUUGUUCAUUGCAGAUUUCCAAGAAUGCGAAGAACUGAAGAAUAAAUCAUUGCGAAAUAUUCCAGUGGAAUUUGGUUUAUACAAGUAGCUUUUACCAUUGACAAUAAAUAUAAAGAAAGAUAUCGAGAGAAUAUAAUGCAGGUGCAUCAUCUUUAAUAUAAAGAUCUACAAAGAUGGCGGAAAUAAGUGAGUAUAUUUGCAACGCGAGAGAAAGUAUACAUCUCUCUUUCUCUGUCUCUCUCUCUCUCUCUCACUC